GAUGAACGCUGGCGGCGUGCCUAAUACAUGCAAGUCGAGCGAACAGACGAGGAGCUUGCUCCUCUGACGUUAUCGGCUGACGGGUGAGUAACACGUGGAUAACCUACCUAUAAGACUGGGAUAACUUCGGGAAACCGGAGCUAAUACCGGAUAAUAUAUUGCACCGCAUGUUUCAAUAGUGCAAUACGGUUUUGCUGUCACUUAUAGAUUGAUCCGCGCCGCAUUAGCUCGUUGGUCAGGUAACGGCUUAACAAGGCAACGAUGCGUAGCCGACCUGAGAGGGUGAUAGGCCACACUGGAAGUGAGACACGGUCCAGACUCCUACGGGAGGCAGCAGUAGGGAAUCUUCCGCAAUGGGCGAAAGCCUGACGGAGCAACGCCGCGUGAGUGAUGAAGGUCUUCGGAUCGUAAAACUCUGUUAUUAGGGAAGAACAAAUGUGUAAGUAACUAUGCACGUAUUGACGGUACCUAAUCAGAAAGCCACGGCUAACUACGUG
rnacentral:rRNA from 1 species